AUACGGAGGGUGCAAGCGUUGUUCGGAAUCAUUGGGCGUAAAGCGCGUGUAGGCGGUCAGUUAAGUCUGAUGAGAAAGCCCGGGGCUCAACCCCGGAAGUGCAUUGGAUACUGGUUGACUAGAGGGCGAGAGAGGAAAGUGGAAUUCCUGGUGUAGGGGUGAAAUCCGUAGAUAUCAGGAGGAACAUCAGUUGCGAAGGCGACUUUCUGGCUCGUUUCUGACGCUGAGACGCGAAAGCGUGGGUAGCAAACAGGAUUAGAAACCCGAGUAGUCC
rnacentral:rRNA from 1 species